CUACGGGCUGCUCCAGUGGGGAAUAUUGCACAAUGGAGGAAACUCUGAUGCAGCAACGCCGCGUGGAGGAUGACACUUUUCGGAGCGUAAACUCCUUUUAUAUAGGAAGAAGAUGACGGUACUAUAUGAAUAAGCGCCGGCUAACUCCGUGCCAGCAGCCGCGGUAAUACGGAGGGCGCAAGCGUUACUCGGAAUCACUGGGCGUAAAGAGCGUGUAGGCGGAUUAAAAAGUCAGAAGUGAAAUCCUAUAGCUUAACUAUCGAACUGCUUCUGAAACUCUUAAUCUAGAAUAUGGGAGAGGUAGAUGGAAUUUCUGGUGUAGGGGUAAAAUCCGUAGAGAUCAGAAGGAAUACUGAUUGCGAAGGCGAUCUACUAGAACAUUAUUGACGCUGAGACGCGAAAGCGUGGGGAGCAAACAGGAUUAGAUACCCGAGUAGUC
rnacentral:rRNA from 1 species